CGUCUAGGCGGCCAUAUUAGUCUCUCGUUAAAUCUGUGGGCUUAACCUACAGGCUGCGGGGGAAACGGUAUGGCUCGAGGGCGUAAGAGGUGCACGGAACUCAUGGUGGAGGGGUGAAAUCCGUUGAUAUCAUGGGGAACACCAAAGGCGAAGGCAGUGCACUGGUACGUUUCUGACGCUCAAACACGAAAGCCAGGGUAGCAACG
rnacentral:rRNA from 1 species